GUGGCCGAGUGGCCGAGUGGUUAAGGCGAUGGACUAAAAAUCCAUUGGGGUCUCCCCGCACAGGUUUGAAUCCUGUCGACUGCG
rnacentral:tRNA from 1 species